CCGGCAGGAACACUGAACCAGGAAGUCAGAAGAUUUUAAGAGCAGCCAGCGUUUUCGUACUACAGGGCGUAACGAUCCCCCCCUCUUCUUGCCACAUGCUCUCUUUGUAUGGGGUAGUACUGAAGGGCUGGGGGAGAAGGACAGCUGCUAUUAUGGCACCAAAGAAGCUAAUUUAGCUGAGCGAAAAUAAACCUACAUCACAUGCAAUAAUAAGGGCAAAUUGAUCCAACAUUUUUCGGCAACGAGCCUGUACGAGAGACACCACAUAAAAAUCGCCGGCAUAGGAUAGAUAAUCGCAUUGGGACAACUAUGUGGCAAUUGCAUGGCCAUGAAGACAGGAGGAAUCUUAUUGUUGCAUGGAACUAUCAAAUGUGAGGAAGAAAUAUCUACAAGAUGACUGUAUCUGCCAUAGUAGAAAUUAUUUCCGAAAAUGUAUAAGUAAACGCCACCUUGAGUAUUUACAGUUCUUUUGGAAUAUGCAACGCCCCACAGAUGGAAUUAGCAGCCACAACAG